GCGGGGAUGGCCCAGUCAGGUACGGCGGCGGAUUGCUAAUCCGUUGGUCUUAUGACCUCGUGAGUUCAAAUCUCACUCCCCGCG
rnacentral:tRNA from 1 species